rnacentral:tRNA from 1 species
GGAUUGUGGCUCAGGGAUAGAGCGCUCGCCUAGCACGUGUGAGACCCUGGGUUUGAUCCUCAGCACCA